GGACAAUCAAGCUACUUAGCUGGUUAGAGCGGGAAAGAUCUAAAUUCCUUUUACUGCUAAUAAAAAAUCUGUUGCCAAAUUGAAAGAAUACACACAUUUCUACGACUAUCAAACGUAAAAAUCAGCAGGGCUGAACUUGAAGUAAUUGCAGUCAAUAAUGCUACUUGCAUGUCCAAAAAAUACAACACAAAUUAACCCAAACCCUCUCUAGAGAAAUGUUGAAAAUGUUAUUCUUGGUAUAAUUUGCUCCGAUUAGUAGUCGAAAUCGAGACCCCACAAACAGUAGCACUAAGCUAGUAAUGUUAAAAGAGUUUUAAAGGAAAAGGAAGGAAAAAAUUAUGCGAACAUGGAAAGGUUUGUUGGGGUGCUGAGAAAGGAAGGGAAAAUGGAACUAACUUUUUAAUGGUUUCCAAUCAACUGGGCUUAAAAUAUCUGCUGGGGCUUUUCACUGUAUGAAGACUAAAACCAAAACCAACAGUCAUAAAAACAAAAAGAUUUCAACAUUUUCUGUUUGAGCUUUCAUUUUCCUCAGUAUUCUCGAGAAACAAACAGAAGCUUAACAACAAAGACAACAUAGAACAUGAAUCAUAAAAAUAAUAGUGAGAAAUCACUGGAGAGAAGAAAAUAUUCUGAAAGAAACAAAUUAAGUUACCAAAAUCCUGAAACCAUUGAAUAUUUCAAAAAGUAGUAGAAAUUAAUAGAUGUACCUGCUUAGAUUUGUGGGUUUGCAGCUGAACAAGAAGAUCGAUUGAAG
rnacentral:misc_RNA from 1 species